UUGAACGCUGGCGGCAGGCCUAACACAUGCAAGUCGAACGGUAACAGGAAACAGCUUGCUGUUUCGCUGACGAGUGGCGGACGGGUGAGUAAUGUCUGGGAAACUGCCCGAUGGAGGGGGAUAACUACUGGAAACGGUAGCUAAUACCGCAUAACGUCGCAAGACCAAAGAGGGGGACCUUCGGGCCUCUUGCCAUCGGAUGUGCCCAGAUGGGAUUAGCUAGUAGGUGGGGUAACGGCUCACCUAGGCGACGAUCCCUAGCUGGUCUGAGAGGAUGACCAGCCACACUGGAACUGAGACACGGUCCAGACUCCUACGGGAGGCAGCAGUGGGGAAUAUUGCACAAUGGGCGCAAGCCUGAUGCAGCCAUGCCGCGUGUAUGAAGAAGGCCUUCGGGUUGUAAAGUACUUUCAGCGGGGAGGAAGGGAGUAAAGUUAAUACCUUUGCUCAUUGACGUUACCCGCAGAAGAAGCACCGGCUAACUCCGUGCCAGCAGCCGCGGUAAUACGGAGGGUGCAAGCGUUAAUCGGAAUUACUGGGCGUAAAGCGCACGCAGGCGGUUUGUUAAGUCAGAUGUGAAAUCCCCGGGCUCAACCUGGGAACUGCAUCUGAUACUGGCAAGCUUGAGUCUCGUAGAGGGGGGUAGAAUUCCAGGUGUAGCGGUGAAAUGCGUAGAUAUUAGGAGGAACACCAGUGGCGAAGGCGGCUUACUGGACGAUAACUGACGCUGAGGCUCGAAAGCGUGGGUAGCGAACAGGAUUAGAUACCCUGGUAGUCCACGCCGUAAACGAUGAGUGCUAGGUGUUAGGCCCUUUCCGGGGCUUAGUGCCGGAGCUAACGCAAUAAGCACUCCGCCUGGGGAGUACGACCGCAAGGUUGAAACUCAAAGGAAUUGACGGGGGCCCGCACAAGCGGUGGAGCAUGUGGUUUAAUUCGAUGCAACGCGAAGAACCUUACCUGGUCUUGACAUCCACGGAAGUUUUCAGAGAUGAGAAUGUGCCUUCGGGAACCGUGAGACAGGUGCUGCAUGGCUGUCGUCAGCUCGUGUUGUGAAAUGUUGGGUUAAGUCCCGCAACGAGCGCAACCCUUAUCCUUUGUUGCCAGCGGUCCGGCCGGGAACUCAAAGGAGACUGCCAGUGAUAAACUGGAGGAAGGUGGGGAUGACGUCAAGUCAUCAUGGCCCUUACGACCAGGGCUACACACGUGCUACAAUGGCGCAUACAAAGAGAAGCGACCUCGCGAGAGCAAGCGGACCUCAUAAAGUGCGUCGUAGUCCGGAUUGGAGUCUGCAACUCGACUCCAUGAAGUCGGAAUCGCUAGUAAUCGUGGAUCAGAAUGCCACGGUGAAUACGUUCCCGGGCCUUGUACACACCGCCCGUCACACCAUGGGAGUGGGUUGCAAAAGAAGUAGGUAGCUUAACCUUCGGGAGGGCGCUUACCACUUUGUGAUUCAUGACUGGGGUG
rnacentral:rRNA from 1 species